AAGAGUAUCCAAUUAUUCACCAACUCAGAAAAUAUUCAUCUUAUUCCUACCUUCACCCUUAAGAGUUUCCUUCUAUUUCAAACACUGCAUUUGUGUCUAGUUCUUUUUGAUGUAAGCUCUGGUUCUAGUCUCAAAGAACCCUAGUCAGGCUGUAGCAUCAUCAGAUUUUAAAUCCUGCUCCCAACUUUUAUCAGAUACCUAAUACAAAAAUUCUAGCUCUUCCUUCUUCUUUUUCUGCCACACAGCAUGGGGGUCUUGGUUCCAUGACCAAGGAUCAGAUCCACGCCCCUGCAGUGAAGCACAGAGUCUCAACCACUGGAUUACCAGGGAAGUCCCUCCAGCUCUUUCUGGAUAAACGCACCACGAAGCACUCCACAGAGGCGGCCUCCUUGUCUCCUUUGAUCUCCACAACCACCCAGUGUGGCAGGAACCGUUAACAUUUGAUGGUUCUAAAUAAGGAUCCCAAGGUACAGGGCACCCUGGCCUGAACAUAAUAGUGACUCUGUAAUUGAUGAACUUCAAUGCCUAGCAUGUCUGUCCUGCUAGAGGUAAGACUCUUUAAGGAUAGGAACAAAACUAUAAGCACUUUGGUAUGUUUUAUAGUCUUAGAGACAGUGCAUCAUAUAUAGUUGACUCUCAAAUAUUGAGUGAAUGAUGAAUAAAAGAACAGAGUGAAAAAAGGAAUCACAUAAGCUCUCUGGAUUUGGUCAACUAUGAAAUAAGGGAAUUGAGAUAGACUGUCUCUAAAAUUCCUUCAGAUCUCAAAUGUUAUGAGUUGAAGAUUCUGUCUAUUCUAGUAUUUCUCUUUUGCAGCAGGCAACAAAAAAAUUAAAUGGAAGUAUACAAAAGUACCUCCCAGAAUUUAAUCUAAGAAACCAUUUUUAAAA
rnacentral:lncRNA from 1 species